AGACUAGCCACAAUGGAGAGUAACAUACACUAGUAACAUACACAUAUCCCUAGACUAUGUUACUACCUCAAUAGUGGGUAGUAACAUAAGUGUAGUAACAUGCAAAGCUUCAUUUAUUAGGUUAUAGACUCAUAUUGCAUUGGGACAUGUGAUGUUACAGUAACUAGCUAAGUUACUAGUACUACAUCUCUCUUCAUUAACUCAUUGCCAC
rnacentral:rRNA from 1 species